UACGUAGGGGGCUAGCGUUGUCCGGAAUCAUUGGGCGUAAAGAGCGUGUAGGCGGCCCGGUAAGUCCGCUGUCAAAGUCAAAGGCUCAACCUUUGAAUGUCAGUGGAUACUGCCGGGCUAGAGUCCGGAAGAGGCGAGUGGAACUCCUGGUGUAGCGGUGGAAUGCGCAGAUAUCAGGAAGAACACCAACGGCGAAGGCAGCUCGCUGGGACGGUACUGACGCUGAGACGCGAAAGCGUGGGGAGCGAACAGG
rnacentral:rRNA from 1 species